CUUUUUAAUGUUUCAGUAUGUGGCUCAUCGUUUUCAAACAUAUAUUGUGAUUUAUAGAACUGACAUCAGAACUGCUUUCUUAAAAAAUAAUGUCUGGACAGGGCAUUGAAAUGUAUCUAUCCCACGUCGGUUCUCUCUGCAUUCAUUCUGCAUGUCAGAUAUAAUCUGUAUGAAAUAUCAGAAGACACCGUAGGCACUAUUUUGUGGUUGGCAUUUCUCGACAAAAGGCCACGAUUCUGCCAACGCGUUUUGUCAAUCCCACCGCCUUCACUAGUGAUGUUGGUGUGAAAUACCUCAAUUUGGGCAUUGCACAAGUAGUUCUAUGGAUGGGCCUGUGGGAUCUUUUACAUGCAAGAGAGGAUGACUGGACUUUCUGAUGACUGGACUUUCGUCAGACGAGGAUUCUGGGAGAUGUAGAUGGAUCCCACAAGAAAGAUGCAGGUGCGUGUGAGGGGAAGCUUCAGGUACAGUAUAUCUCCUAUUCACCAAACACUAAACAAACCAUGCAAAGAUCUAAAAGUGACAGAGCCACUCUAAAGGGAAACUUGGAUAAAAAUUGAACUCCUGAUAUCUUGUAGCAAGGCUCAAAUUCUACUAGCCAUUGGCAAGUGAAAACUCCAAUCUGGCAAGUGGAAAUCCAGCCCUGGUAGUGUGUCAUGGAUCCUCCAGGCUUGUAAAAAGGACUGGUUUGGAGUGUAGUGAGGAGUGUGUAAAGGUGUGCUAGGUGUAGCUUGGUGCUAUAGUGUGUGUGCAUGUAUAGGGUUGUAGAGAUUGUGUGUGUGUGUGUUGGCAUUAGCUGUCAUGUGCGUGUGUUGUGUGUGUCUAUGUAUUGAAGUUGCAUUGUGUGUGUGUGUAUCUAAGAGAUAUAGUUUGUGUAACUAUAUCUCCUAGAUCCACAACUAGCGGCUGCUUUGUGUAUUGGGUUUGUGUUGUGUGUGUGUAUAUGGAUUGUAGUGUUUGUGUAUAAGCUGUAUAAUGUGUGUAAAGGGGUGGUAUAAUGUAUGUAUAGGGGGUGUACUGAGUGGGGAUGUGCUGCGCUAUGUGUGGGGGAAUGUACUGUGUGUGGUAGGGUGUACUGUUUGGGUGUGUGUGUGUGGUGUGCACUGUGUGUGUGUGGUGUACUCUGCAUGUGUAUGGGGUUGAGUUAAGGGUCCAGUAAGGGCUUUUUUCCUCAACGCACCCCUGCAGGACUCAAGCCCUGUAUAUAUAUAUAUAUGAAACCAAGG